AAUUUUAUUGAGAAGAAGGGAUUUUACUCUUGAAAGCAGAUGCAUCGGAAACAAUCAAACAACGCUAGUUAUAAAAUGCGCUUGGUUUUGCAAUAUUUCAUCCGUUCUUCAAAAGAAACAACAUGAACAAGUCAGCACUUCUACUUUUGCUUCUCAUCGGACUUCUCGUCCUCACUGAAACUACUACUGCUUGGUGGCUUAGUGGUCGUCGCCGUGUUGGUCGUCGUCGUCGUCGUAUAAUCGCUUAUGAUCAAGAAGAAAUGCCAGAAAUGAAUGAAAUUCCAGACCAUGAGUCCGAGGAUUUUGAUUCUCAAAUUAGAUUAUAAUGAGGUUUCCUUUUAAGCUGCAAUGAGGUUUCCUUUCAAGCUGCAAAGGUACAAUUUUAAUAAAUUGAACAUCAGCAAAUAU